AUUGAACGCUGGCGGCAGGCCUAACACAUGCAAGUCGAGCGAGCGGCGGACGGGUGAGUAAUGUAUGGGGACUGCCCGAUAGAGGGGGAUAACUAUUGGAAACGGUAGCUAAUACCCCAUACUAUCGGAUCACACAGAUGGUAUUAGCUAGUGGGUGAGGUAAUGGCUCACAUAGGCGACGAUCCCUAGCUGGUCUGAGAGGAUGAUCAGCCACACGGGGACUGAGACACGGCCCAGACUCCUACGGAGGCAGCAGUGGGGAAUAUUGCACAAUGGGCGCAAGCCUGAUGCAGCCAUCCCGCGUGAAUGAUGAAGGCCUUCGGGUUGUAAAGUACUUUUGGCAGAGAAGCGGUAUCUGCAGAAUAAGCACCGGCUAACUACGUGCCAGCAGCCGCGGUAAUUC
rnacentral:rRNA from 1 species